CGGGAUUUUUGUGCACUGUAUGCGUUUCUUCCUCCUCGAAUUCGCGAUGCCGCUUUCCUUUCUUGUCGCGAUCUUCCCCAAUCCGGAGACGGACGGCGGCUUCAUCGGCGGAUCCUAUGAAGGCGACGACCUCAAUUAGGGUUCACUUCCUGGCGGAGUGGUUCUGCUCCGGCGCCGUUGUGAGUCCUCUGAUCUCCCGAUUCUUGACAAAGUGCAGCGGCUCCAAAUUAAGGCUUCCUUGUCGGAGUGGUUCUGCUCCGGAAAGGCAUCCCUUCUCCAUUCCUUACCUCCGAAGGCUUCCUUCGGGCGUGGUUGCGAAAGCAGGGAGCUUCUAACAGAGGAAGCCGGCUAUUCUUCUAUCUUCUCCGGCUGGUUGUGAGUCCAGUUCUUCUCCGGAGAGCCUCCUCCCUGAAUCCCAACGCUGAGGCUGCUGCAGACUCCCUGCGGACGUGGUUGCGAAGGUUGUCCUAUACUCAGCAACCUCAGUUCAUCAACACUUGGCAGGAAGCUCAACCUCAGUUCUACACCAAAUUCCUGCAGAAGCAUCCAACCGAUCCCAAUUUCCAACAGACAUUUCACUAUUCAACCUCAAUUCUGGUGAAAAUUGAACAAGAUUGCUAUUUCCUUUUGUGCUAGAAUUAUGCUGUUUUCUUUUGUGCCAGAAUUGCGCUGUCAAUUGCCCUUCGUUGUGGCAAAAGGUGAAACGCUUGCCCCUAGCGCUCCCACCGUACUCGAUCCAAGGCCAUCACGAGGGAGGUAAAUCGCAGCAUCCGAACGAGCAUGUGAUGGACAGAGUGUAAUAUGAGGAUAGGGGAUUUAUUCCCCAGCUGCCCAGAGGAUCAACCCUGCGACCUCAUUGUGGCAACACCCACCACAUACCAACUCGGAUGACCCGCGGGGCCUAUCUUCAAGCCCUUCGUGUGAUGGCGGAAGGUAGUCGAUUGGAGUUGAUCGUAAAAGAGUAGUUUGGUUAACAUAGUUUACUUUCAUGUUGAUUUUUGCAGUUACGUUCUUAUGUAUAAUAGAUUAUUUGUUAUUGCACUUUGUUAGUUUCAUUUAUGCAUGAUUCUUGAUUA